GACGAACGCUGGCGGCGUGCCUAAUACAUGCAAGUUGAGCGCUGAAGGUUGGUACUUGUACCAACUGGAUGAGCAGCGAACGGGUGAGUAACGCGUGGGGAAUCUGCCUUUGAGCGGGGGACAACAUUUGGAAACGAAUGCUAAUACCGCAUAAAAACUUUAAACACAAGUUUUAAGUUUGAAAGAUGCAAUUGCAUCACUCAAAGAUGAUCCCGCGUUGUAUUAGCUAGUUGGUGAGGUAAAGGCUCACCAAGGCGAUGAUACAUAGCCGACCUGAGAGGGUGAUCGGCCACAUUGGGACUGAGACACGGCCCAAACUACUACGGGAGGCAGCAGUAGGGAAUCUUCGGCAAUGGACGAAAGUCUGACCGAGCAACGCCGCGGGAGUGAAGAAGGUUUUCGGAUCGUAAAACUCGGUUGGUAGAGAAGAACGUUGGUGAGAGUGGAAAGCUCAUAAAGUGACGGUAACUACCCAGAAAGGGACGGCUAACUACGUG
rnacentral:rRNA from 1 species